rnacentral:rRNA from 1 species
GUGGGGAAUUUUGGACAAUGGGCGCAAGCCUGAUCCAGCAAUGUCGCGUGCAGGAAGAAGGCCUUCGGGUUGUAACUGCUUUUGUACGGAACGAAACGGUCCGGGUUAAUACCCUGGGCUAAUGACGGUACCGUAAGAAUAAGCACCGGCUAACUACGUGCCAGCAGCCGCGGUAAUACGUAGGGUGCAAGCGUUAAUCGGAAUUACUGGGCGUAAAGCGUGCGCAGGCGGUUUUGUAAGACAGGCGUGAAAUCCCCGGGCUCAACCUGGGAAUUGCGCUUGUGACUGCAAGGCUGGAGUGCGGCAGAGGGGGAUGGAAUUCCGCGUGUAGCAGUGAAAUGCGUAGAUAUGCGGAGGAACACCGAUGGCGAAGGCAAUCCCCUGGGCCUGCACUGACGCUCAUGCACGAAAGCGUGGGGAGCAAACAGGAUUAGAUACCCUAGUAGUCC